AGAGUUUGAUCCUGGCUCAGGAUGAACGCUGGCGGCGUGCUUAACACAUGCAAGUCGAACGAUCCUUCGGGAUAGUGGCGGACGGGUGAGUAACGCGUGGGAAUCUGCCCUCAGGAGGGGGAUAACGGCUGGAAACGGCCGCUAAUACCCCAUAUGCCGAGAGGUGAAAUGAAUUUCGCCUGAGGAUGAGCCCGCGUCUGAUUAGCUAGUUGGUGGGGUAAAGGCCUACCAAGGCAACGAUCAGUAGCUGGUCUGAGAGGAUGAUCAGCCACACUGGGACUGAGACACGGCCCAGACUCCUACGGGAGGCAGCAGUGGGGAAUUUUCCGCAAUGGGCGAAAGCCUGACGGAGCAACGCCGCGUGAGGGAUGAAGGCCUCUGGGCUGUAAACCUCUUUUCUCAAGGAAGAAGACCUGACGGUACUUGAGGAAUAAGCCACGGCUAAUUCCGUGCCAGCAGCCGCGGUAAUACGGGAGUGGCAAGCGUUAUCCGGAAUUAUUGGGCGUAAAGCGUCCGCAGGCGGCCUUGUAAGUCUGUUGUUAAAGCGUGGAGCUCAACUCCAUUUAAGCAAUGGAAACUACAAGGCUGGAGUGUGGUAGGGGCAGAGGGAAUUCCCGGUGUAGCGGUGAAAUGCGUAGAUAUCGGGAAGAACACCAGUGGCGAAGGCGCUCUGCUGGGCCAUAACUGACGCUCAUGGACGAAAGCCAGGGGAGCGAAAGGGAUUAGAUACCCCUGUAGUCCUGGCCGUAAACGAUGAACACUAGGUGUCGGGGGAAUCGACCCCCUCGGUGUCGUAGCCAACGCGUUAAGUGUUCCGCCUGGGGAGUACGCACGCAAGUGUGAAACUCAAAGGAAUUGACGGGGGCCCGCACAAGCGGUGGAGUAUGUGGUUUAAUUCGAUGCAACGCGAAGAACCUUACCAGGGUUUGACAUCCUGCGAACCCCUGAGAAAUCGGGGGGUGCCUUCGGGAGCGCAGAGACAGGUGGUGCAUGGCUGUCGUCAGCUCGUGUCGUGAGAUGUUGGGUUAAGUCCCGCAACGAGCGCAACCCACGUCUUUAGUUGCCAGCAUUCAGUUGGGCACUCUAGAGAGACCGCCGGUGAUAAACCGGAGGAAGGUGUGGAUGACGUCAAGUCAUCAUGCCCCUUACAUCCUGGGCUACACACGUACUACAAUGCUACGGACAAAGGGCAGCAAGCUCGCGAGAGUUAGCAAAUCCCAUAAACCGUGGCUCAGUUCAGAUCGUAGGCUGCAACUCGCCUACGUGAAGGAGGAAUCGCUAGUAAUCGCAGGUCAGCAUACUGCGGUGAAUACGUUCCCGGGCCUUGUACACACCGCCCGUCACACCAUGGAAGUUGGCCAUGCCCGUAGUCGUUACUCCAACCCUUGUGGAGGAGGACGCCGAAGGUGGGGCUGAUGACUGGGGUGAAGUCGGAACAAGGUA
rnacentral:rRNA from 1 species